UAUGUAGGGACCGAGCGUUGUCCGGAAUCAUUGGGCGUAAAGAGCGUGUAGGCGGCCUUUUAAGUCCUGCGUGAAAUCCUGCGGCUCAACCGCAGACGGUCGUGGGAAACUGGAAGGCUAGAGUGCGGGAGAGGAGAGUGGAAUUCCCGGUGUAGCGGUGAAAUGCGCAGAUAUCGGGAAGAACACCCGUGGCGAAGGCGGCUCUCUGGGCCGAUACUGACGCUGAGGAGCGAAAGCGUGGGGAGCGAACAGG
rnacentral:rRNA from 1 species